rnacentral:lncRNA from 1 species
CGAUACCAUCUGGAGUUGUCUCAUUCAUGGGCUGAACUGGAGAGGCAAUAUGCGAGGCCUCUAAAUUAUCAUUCACUACAACAGGUUUCGAUAGUAGAUGUUGAUCUGUAGCAUUCCUAUCCAUCACAGAAGUUUGAGCAGUUUUUACAUCACCAAUUUGUAUCGUAACAUCUUUUACAAUGCCCUGAUUUACUGGAGAAUGAAAAUGACCAGAAUUGG